rnacentral:tRNA from 1 species
GUUCGUUUAAUUUAAACAAAAUAGUGGUCUUGUAAGCCGAAAAUCAACUAAGGUUGAAUGAACU